GAUGAACGCUGGCGGCGUGCCUAAUACAUGCAAGUCGAGCGAACAGACGAGGAGCUUGCUCCUCUGACGUUAGCGGCGGACGGGUGAGUAACACGUGGAUAACCUACCUAUAAGACUGGGAUAACUUCGGGAAACCGGAGCUAAUACCGGAUAAUAUAUUGAACCGCAUGGUUCAAUAGUGAAAGACGGUUUUGCUGUCACUUAUAGAUGGAUCCGCGCCGCAUUAGCUAGUUGGUAAGGUAACGGCUUACCAAGGCGACGAUGCGUAGCCGACCUGAGAGGGUGAUCGGCCACACUGGAACUGAGACACGGUCCAGACUCCUACGGGAGGCAGCAGUAGGGAAUCUUCCGCAAUGGGCGAAAGCCUGACGGAGCAACGCCGCGUGAGUGAUGAAGGUCUUCGGAUCGUAAAACUCUGUUAUUAGGGAAGAACAAAUGUGUAAGCAACUAUGCACGUCUUGACGGUACCUAAUCAGAAAGCCACGGCUAACUACG
rnacentral:rRNA from 1 species